rnacentral:rRNA from 1 species
CGGGGGAGUAACAACCCUGGAAACAGAUGCUAAUACCGCAUAACAACUUGGACCGCAUGGUCCGAGUUUGAAAGAUGGCUUCGGCUAUCACUUUUGGAUGGUCCCGCGGCGUAUUAGCUAGAUGGUGAGGUAACGGCUCACCAUGGCAAUGAUACGUAGCCGACCUGAGAGGGUAAUCGGCCACAUUGGGACUGAGACACGGCCCAAACUCCUACGGGAGGCAGCAGUAGGGAAUCUUCCACAAUGGACGAAAGUCUGAUGGAGCAACGCCGCGUGAGUGAAGAAGGGUUUCGGCUCGUAAAACUCUGUUGUUAAAGAAGAACAUAUCUGAGAGUAACUGUUCAGGUAUUGACGGUAUUUAACCAGAAAGCCACGGCUAACUACGUGCCAG